GUAGGAUAGGAAUGCCAAUUGUAAGAUAGAAUAGCAUGUGGUAGGAUUAGAAUGGGUAAGAUAGGAUGGAAUAGAAUAAGGUAGCAUAUGAACGGCUAAGAUAUGAUAGAAUAGAAUAAGGUAGGAUAGCAAUGGCUAAAGGUAAUAUAGAAUAGGAUAAGGUAGCAUAGGAACGGCUAAGAUAUGAUAGAAUAUGCUGGUUAGUAAAGAGUAAUUUAAGAUAGAAUAGUAUAAGGUAGGAUUGGAAUGACUAGGGCAAGAUAGAAUAGGAUGUGGUAGGAUAAGAAUGUGUAAGAUAGGAUAAGGUAGGUUAGGAACGGCUAAGGUAUGAUAUAAUCGUAUAAGAUAGGAACGGCUAAGAUAGCAUUUGGUAGGAUAGCAACGGGUAAGGUAAGAUAGAGUAGGAUGUGGUAGGAUAAGAAUGGCUAAGAUAUGAUAAAAUAGGAUAAGGUAGUAUAGGAACGGCUAAGACAUGAGGGAAUAAGCUGGUUUGGAACGGCUAAUAUAAGACAGAAUAUGAAAAGGUAGGAUAGGAAUGGCUAUGGUAUGAUAGAAUAGGAUGUGGUAGCAUAUGAACGGCUAAGAUAUUAUUGGAUAGGAUAAGGUAGGAUAGGAAUGGAUAAAGGUAAGAUAGAAUAGGAGAAGGUAGCAUAGGGAUGGCUAAGGUAAGAUAGAACAGGAUAAGGUAGCAUAGGAACGGCUAAGAUAUGAUAGAAUAAGCUGGUUAGGAAAGAGUAAUAUGAGAUAGAAUAGGAUAAGGUACGAUAGGAACAGCUGAGGUAUGAUAGAAUCGUAUAAGAUAGGAACGGCUAAGAUAGAAUUAGGUAGGAUAGCAACGGGUAAGCUAAGAUAGAAUAGGAUGUGGUAGGAUGAAAAUGGCAAAGAUAUGAUAGGAUAAGGUGGUAUAGGAACGGCUAAUAUGAGAUAGAAUAAGAUAAGGUAGG